GUGGGGAAUAUUGGACAAUGGGCGAAAGCCUGAUCCGGGCAUGCCGCGUGUGUGAAGAAGGUCUUCGGAUUGUAAAGCACUUUAAGUUGGGAGGAAGGGCAGUAAGUUAAUACCUUGCUGUUUUGACGUUACCGACAGAAUAAGCCCCGGCUAACUUCGUGCCAGCAGCCGCGGUAAUACGAAGGGGGCUAGCGUUGUUCGGAAUUACUGGGCGUAAAGCGCGCGUAGGUGGUUCAGCAAGUUGGAGGUGAAAUCCCCGGGCUCAACCUGGGAACUGCCUCCAAAACUACUGGGCUAGAGUACGGUAGAGGGUAGUGGAAUUUCCUGUGUAGCGGUGAAAUGCGUAGAUAUAGGAAGGAACACCAGUGGCGAAGGCGACUACCUGGACUGAUACUGACACUGAGGUGCGAAAGCGUGGGGAGCAAACAGGAUUAGAUACCCUUGUAGUCC
rnacentral:rRNA from 1 species